rnacentral:rRNA from 1 species
GGCUUGUUGAGUAUGAUUUCAGGUCUGGCCUGCCCGCUGAAGAAUUUAAAGGCCGCGGUAUAUUGACCGUGCAAAGGUAGCAUAAUCAUUAGUUUUUUAAUUGAAAGCUUGUAUGAAAGGUUUGAUGAAAAAGUGACUGUCUCUGAGAAAAUUUACUAGAAUUUUAUUUUUAAGUGAGAAAGCUUAAAUGAUCAUAGAAGACGAGAAGACCCUAUAGAGUUUUACAAGCUAAAAUGUUUAGGAAUUAGGAAUUUUAUUUUAAAUUUGGCUAGUUUUGUUUUGUUGGGGUGACGGGAAAAUUGGAGAAACUUUUCUUUAUUUUAAUAUUAAUGUAUAGGUUUAUGAUCCUGAAUAAAGAUUAAAAGAUUAAAUUACCUUAGGGAUAACAGCGUUAUUUUUUUUAGAGUUCUUAUCGAAGAAAUAGAUUGCGACCUCGAUGUUGGAUUAAAAUUAAUAAUUGGUGAAGAAGCUGAUUAAUUAGGUCUGUUCGACCUUUAAAAUUUUACAUGAUCUGAGUUUAGACCGGUGUAAG